CAUCAGGUGAAGAUGUGCGUGAUUUCACCAAGGUGCUGAAAAAUAACUUCAGAUCAAAGAAAUACUUUGCCAAACAUCCUCGCUUGGGUUAUUUACCACUACAAACAGUCCUAGAAGACGAGGAAAUAUUAGUGAUGCAAUGAAGAGUUUGAUGAUAAAAUAUAAUUACUGUUACGGUUUCCUCUUGGACGAAAUAUUCUCAUCAAAUUGACUGGUCAAGGAAAUGGGACACUGACUGUGAGUACUUUGAGUGUUUAAGUGAUUCCUAAAAUGAAAAUUAUGACCUUGAUUUCUCUUGCAUGCAGAUAUGAAGAGACUAUUUUAAAAAUCCUCUCGGUUCGUGGUUCAGGCAUAAAGGUGUCACAUGUAUAUUUAUGUAUAUACAUGUACAUGUGUAAUCUGAAAAGAAAAUGACGAUAAAUCACUUGUUACAAGUUCCUCAAGCUUUAGCAUAAACUGGUGGAGACUUUCGGCGCUUGCAAAAAGGCUCACCUCUCUGUUAAUACUGAAGGAAAAUUGGAGUUUAAAAGUAAGUUCACCCGGUGUCAGGGAAUGAAAUGUUAAUGUUGACUUGAAUAUAAUUUUUAAAAAAGUAAUAUAUUUGUGUAGCACUAAACUCAAAUUAAAAUUUGGAUAUGCCAGUUGACUCCUGUUUGACACUGGAUGGAAUGGCGGUGACAUCAGAUUCAGUGAUGAUUGAGAAUCUAAAGAAUAUGAGGAUAAGAUUUAAAAUCCAAAUAUCAUUGAACUCUUCAAGAAAUGUAUUACUGGAAAAGGGGGAAAGCAUGUAUGUCUAUUAGAAUUGAAUACACUCUGAAGGCGGUGGCACAGAUGAAACAGACCUGUGUGCUAAAACUUAUCACAAAUUUCACAUUGAAUGGAACAGUUUAAACAGGCUGGAGGAAGCAGACAUGCCAGCGCAAACUUUUGAAUUUGUGCAUUCUGUUCAUAAACAUCAGCAAAAUUGUGGGAACCUGUUUAUUCUUUCUCUUUUAUUGCACAGAACCAUACGAUUACACUAAUUUUGAUGAGGAAUUUAAAGAUUAUGAGCCCCGUCCGUUUGACCCGCAGUUUGGCACCAUAGGUUGGCACGAUCUUCGUUCGAGAAGGAAGAGGGAUGUUCCAGACACAGAAAAUCGUCAAACCAUUUACUACAAAGUCUGUUUCUGCUUAGUAUUAAUUAAUGCAGUUAACAUUUUCAGAUCGACAUGAUUGCAGAAUGGAGUCAAUAAAACAAAUUCCAUCUGAUAUUCAACAUAAAUUUUAAGUUUAGAAUAACAAGCUCACAAGAGCUUGGUUUUAGAUAUCACUUGGGACCACAGACUAACAGACAAAGGAACAAAGCAAAACGACUCUGCGAUUUGAUGUAGAAACUCCUGACUCCGAAGCCUGCAGCCGCCCUCCAAUUCUCAAGUCAGAAGUGUGCCAAUGAUGGUGCAGAUCCAACAACACUGGAAACGAUCUUGAGUCUAGACCAAAGCAGCCCCUUGAUUGGCACCGUAUCCAUUCUCUCCACAACCAACUCCAAGACACAAUAAUGUGUCCAUAUACAAGAUGCACUGCCACAUUUUUUUCCAACUAUUCUUACACCCGCCUUUCCAGACUUAGAAAACUCAUCUUCAAGGUCAAGGACAUCAGACAUGGUAGCACUAAUCCCAGUAAAAAUCACCUCCAAGCUACUCUCAAACUUAUUUGGAAAUGAAUGAUUGUUCCUGAGUCAAUAUUAGUAAUCUCUUUUGGAACAGCAUUGUGGGUCUGUGUACAGCAACAUGAAGCUGUUCAAGAAGUCAAUUUGUGCUGGACAAUCAGCAACAGCUAUGUCUCAUUAAAGAAUAAAUAAAUCGGAAAGAAAUCCAUCUGAGAGUCACAAGCAAAUGGGUAACUUUUUUUUGUUCACUCUGCAGCUCGUGGGCUAUUACCAAUUUUGACAAUGACAAAUGAAGCUUUUGUUUGGUUUGCUAUUGAUAGCAGCUGUCCACAAAAUAAAAACAAUUGGCAUCAGAGAUAAUGGGAACUGCAGAUGCUGGAGAAUCCAAGAUUACAAAGUGUGGAGCUGGAUGAACACAGCAGGCCAAGCAGUAUCUCAGGAGCACAAAAGCUGACGUUUCGGGCCUCGACCCUUCAUCAGAAAAGAGGGAGGAGGAGAGGGCUCUGAAAGAAAUAGGGAGAGGGGAAGGCAGAUUGAAGAUGGAUAGAGGGGAAGAUAGGUGCAGAGGAGACAGACAAGCAAUAAGGAAGGAGAGGAUCAAAUAUCAAGGUAGGCUAGCUAGUCAUAUCAGAAAUCAUAGUAACGGCUUCUUUCAAUACAUAAGAAACAAACGUGAGGCAAAAGUAGACACUGGGCCACUCCAAAUUGAUGCUGGAAGGCAAGUGGUGGGAGAUAAGGAAGUAGCUGAAGAACUUAAUAAGUACUUUGCGUCAGUCUUCACAGUGGAAGACAUGAGUAAUAUGCCAACAAUUAGGGAGAGCCAGGGGGCAGAGCUGAGGAUGGUAGGAAUUACAAAAGAGCAAGUGCUAAAAGGUCUAAAAAUUGAUAAAUCUCCUGGCCCCAAUGGGCUAUAUCCUAGAGUUCUGAACAAGGUGGCUGAGGAAAUAGCAGAGGCUUUGGCUAUGAUCUUUCAAAAGUCAGUGUAGUUUUUUUUUGAGUGCGAGCAGCAGCGGAGGCAAGACGGACCCGGAAGACUGCAGCUAAGGUAAAGCAGUUUAUUUUGAAAAUUACUUACCGAUAGCGGGCAGCGGUGUUUUUCCUCUUUCAGAGAAGGAGCGGGAGCAGCAGAGGAAGUGACGAGGACCAGAGGGGCAGCCGGGAAGGAAAGCAGUGAGUAUAAAUACUCACCCUUCGACGCCAACGGCCAUUAUGAGUGCGAGCAGCAGCAGAGGCAAGAUGGACCCGGAAGACUGCAGCUAAGGUAAAAAGCAUUGGAGAUGCUGUUAAUUUUUUGCACGGCGAGCUGCAGAAUAUUAACCAGUCUCACACCAUUGCCAUCACCUUGCCCUUGCAGAUGCGGAUAAAGUUCUCCAAGCUGACAGAAAUUGAAAGCACUCGCAUCCUGUGACGAUGGGGUAGGAGUGGAAGAAUCAGAGUGUUUCUUUGAAAAUUGGCUUGAUGUGUCUGUCCAAGGGUCAUCUGGAGGAAAAAAUACAAGUAUAUCUUCAAACAAGUAGCUGAACCCACAGAUUUAUGUGACCAACGAAGCCUGAGCCUUUUGCUUCACGAUGCAGUCCAGAUCCCUCGGCAGCUGGGUGAGGUAGCUUCAUUUGGAGGCAGCACCAUUGAACCAAGUGUCCGCAGUUGCUUCCAACAUGCACUCAGACAUGAACUAAUGGAUAAGGAGGAGACAAUCAUAACUGCUUUGGAUUCAGCCCAUAGAAGGGCCAGAGGAGCCGCGCUGACACCUUCAUGUUUAAACAGAGGACACUUUUCUGCGUGCCACGAGAUGUAUAUCAGCCAUACCAAAAUGCUGCCUUUGCCUGAGACAGGGAAGAUCAACUGACUUUGGGGAAAUGGAGAAUCAUUCAUGAAUCCAGUUACUUUCUGAUCUGACAGCUUUGUGGCAUCUGAAUGGAUAACAAUUUGAUCUGGUAAUCUCAAUUGAUAGAGUGCAAAUGUGUAGUGAUGCAUUUUGGGAGCUCUGGUAAGUGAAAGAUGUUCACAAUGACUAGUAGAUCCCUAGAGAGCACUGAGAAACAAAGGGACCUUGAUGUCCAAAAGCAAGAGUUCAUGCCCUCUGCUUCUGGCCUUUCAGGCAAAGUUGGAUCCAACACUCCACUGAGUCUUAGAUCCCAUGAGCUCUUGUUUUGUUGACCAGUCUGCUAUCACUGACCUUAUCAAAAACAUAUAGACCACAUCAGAUGAAUUUCCCUCUUCAACACUUCUGAUAUCUCCUCAAUAAAAAUUAGAUAAAAUUUGCAAACCAUGGCAUUACCUCAACAAAGCCAUGCUGACUAUCCCCGAACAUUCCAUGUUUCUCCAAGUGCAGCGACAUUUUGUCCCUUAAAAUUCUUUCUGAUAACUUCCCUACCACCAAGGUUAGACUGGCUUGUAACUUCUGGAUCUGUCCUUUCUUCUUUUAUAUAAAAGUAUGAGCGGUCCUCUGGCACCUUAGCUGUGGCCAGAAAUGACUUGAAAAAUCUUUGCCAGGACCUUUUGAUAUCUCCUCCCCUGCUUCAUAAAGUCAUGCAGUAUAGAAACAGGCUCACUUGAUCAACAUCAAUGCCAACUAACAAACAUCAAACUACUGAUCCCAUUUACCUGCACUGAGUCAUUACCUGCCAUACCCUGGCCCUUUAAAUGCUCAUCUGUUGCUUCUUUAAUAUUGCAAGCGUAUCUGCCUUCUCCACCUUGUCAAGCAGCAUAUUACAUGUUUGUAUCACUUUUGGUGAAAACACUUGCCUCAGAUCCCCUCUAAAUAGCUGACAGUUUACCUGAAAUCUAUGCCCCCUGACUUAAACUCGUCUACUGGUUCUCACAAUCAAUCUAUGCCUCUCAUAAUUUUGUAUACGUCGAUCAGAUUUCCCCUCAGCCUCCUCUGCUGCAUGGAAAACGCAAUUAGCCUACCAGU